rnacentral:rRNA from 1 species
CCUACGGGAGGCAGCAGUGAGGAAUAUUGGUCAAUGGGCGCGAGCCUGAACCAGCCAAGUCGCGUGAGGGAAGACGGCCCUACGGGUUGUAAACCUCUUUUGCCGGGGAGCAACGGGCGCCACGUGUGGCGCCACUGAGAGUACCCGGAGAAAAAGCAUCGGCUAACUCCGUGCCAGCAGCCGCGGUAAUACGGAGGAUGCGGGCGUUAUCUGGAUUUAUUGGGUUUAAAGGGUGCGUAGGCGGAGCGUUAAGUCAGUGGGCAAAUUGAGGGGCUAAACCGCUUCGCGCCAUUGAAACUGGCGCUCUUGAGUGGAAGAGAGGUAUGCGGAAUGCGUGGUGUAGCGGUGAAAUGCAUAGA